rnacentral:rRNA from 1 species
GUGGAGUAGCUUGCUACGAAGCAAUCUAGCGGCGGACGGGUGAGUAACGCGUGGGCAACCUGCCCUAUACAGGGGGAUAACACACCGAAAGGUGUGCUAAUACCCCAUGACACUAAGAAUUCGCAUGUUUUCUUAGUCAAAGAUUUAUCGGUAUAGGAUGGGCCCGCGUCUGAUUAGCUAGUUGGUGAGGUAAUGGCUCACCAAGGCGACGAUCAGUAGCCGACCUGAGAGGGUGAUCGGCCACACUGGAACUGAGACACGGUCCAGACUCCUACGGGAGGCAGCAGUGGGGAAUAUUGCACAAUGGGGGAAACCCUGAUGCAGCAACGCCGCGUGAGCGAUGAAGGCCUUCGGGUCGUAAAGCUCUGUCCUAAGGGAAGAAUAAUGACGGUACCUUAGGAGGAAGCCCCGGCUAACUACGUGCCAGCAGCCGCGGUAAUACGUAGGGGGCAAGCGUUAUCCGGAAUCACUGGGCGUAAAGGGUGCGUAGGCGGCCGAUAAAGUCUGGGGUGAAAGGCUACGGCUUAACCGUAGUAAGCCUUGGAAACUUAUUGGCUUGAGUGCAGGAGAGGUAAGUGGAAUUCCUAGUGUAGCGGUGAAAUGCGUAGAUAUUAGGAGGAACACCAGUGGCGAAGGCGACUUACUGGACUGUAACUGACGCUGAGGCACGAAAGCGUGGGGAGCGAACAGGAUUAGAUACCCUGGUAGUCCACGCCGUAAACGAUGAGUGCUAGGUGUCGGGGGCGACAGCCCUCGGUGCCGCAGCUAACGCAUUAAGCACUCCGCCUGGGGAGUACGCU